UUCAGCAAACCCUUAAAAGGAAGAAAAGUAAGCACAAUAAUAUUACAUAAAAAAGUUAGGUCAAGGUGUAACCCAUGGAGUGGGAAGAAAUGGGCUACAUUUUCUUAUCAAGAACACACUCACGAAAGUUUUCAUGAAAACUGAAAACUAAAGGUGGAUUUAGUAGUAAACUAAGAAUAGAGAGCUUAGUUGAAUAGGGCCAUGAAGCACGCACACACCGCCCGUCACCCUCCUCAAGCGACACAUUCAAUCAUUACAUAAUACAAACUAAACUAAAGCAAGAGGAGAUAA
rnacentral:rRNA from 1 species